rnacentral:tRNA from 4 species
UUUGCUUUAAUGAUGGCUUUAUUAUUAUUAUAUGUUGUAUAAUAAUAUUUUUAUAGCGGAGC